AGAGCAGGGCCUCUCCCCGGGAAGAAGGGGGGCACCUUUCUCAGCUUGUUCUAUUCCCCACUCACACCCCCAGGCAGGGUUGGAAAUGAAGGACUUUUUUAACCUUUUGUUUUUGUUUUUUUAAAAAUAAAUCUGUAAAAUCUGAAA